rnacentral:rRNA from 1 species
GGUUGGGUUGUUGCUGGCCUCUAGGGGCAUAUAUGUGCACGCCUGCCACCGUUUUCAACCACCUGUGCACCUUUUGUAGACUUGGAUAACUCUCGAGGUCCAUCCAGACCUCGGUUUGAGGACUGCUGUGCCUAGUGUUUACCACCCGGUCAGCUUUCCUUACAUUUCCGGUCUACGUUUUCUUAUAUAUAUACACCCCAUAAUGAAUGUAUUAGAAUGUUUUGUUAUUGGCCUUCAGUGCCUUUAAUCAAAAUACAACUUUCAGCAACGGAUCUCUUGGCUCUCGCAUCGAUGAAGAACGCAGCGAAAUGCGAUAAGUAAUGUGAAUUGCAGAAUUCAGUGAAUCAUCGAAUCUUUGAACGCACCUUGCGCUCCUUGGUUGGUAUUCCGAGGAGCAUGCCUGUUUGAGUGUCAUUAAAUUCUCAACCUAUCUUAGCUUUUGCAAAGGUAGGSUUGGAUGUGGGGGUUUGCGGGCUUUUACAAAAAAAGUCGGCUCUCCUUAAAUGCAUUAGUGGAACCUUUUGUUGGCUUGUUCCUAGUGUGAUAAUUAUCUUAUCUAUCUACACUGUGAGCGGUCGGCGACUUUUAAUAGGGUUUUGCUUCCAACCUUGUUUCCUACUUCAGGGAAACAACACUUUGACAAUUGACCUCA